AUGUUUCUCGUUUAUGGAGGUGAUGAAGAGCUCGUCGUAAAGGGUUACGUCGAUGCUAGCUUCGACACAGAUCUGGAUGACUCUAAGUCACAAACCGGAUACGUGUAUAUUUUCAAUGGUGGGGCAGUCAGCCGGUGCAGUUGCAAGCAAAGCGUCGUGGCAGGAUCUACAUGUGAAGCGGAGUACAUGGCAGCCUUGGAGGCAGCACAUGAAGCAAUCUGGAUGAAGGAGUUCAUUGCCGACCUAGGAGUUAUUCCCAAUGCAUCAGGGCCGAUGACUCUCUUCUGUGACAACACUGGAGCUAUUGCCCUAGCCAAGGAGCCCAGGUUUCACAAGAAGACCAGGCACAUCAAG
rnacentral:rRNA from 1 species